rnacentral:lncRNA from 1 species
GCAUCAUUUGUGGUGUACUCUUAUCACGUGGUUCGUCCCAGACAUAGACAUACCCCUUUGAAGUAGAGAAACCAUAGUUAUCCUAUCUAUUCUGCUACCAUCGCCCAUAUACUAGAAUUGCUCUAUUCUCUAUUCCCAUAUUAUCACUCACUGUUAUCUUACCUUUAAUAUUGUUCUUAUUCGAUUCUACCAUCUUUCCUAUUUACACUUAUCUAUUUAUCUUAGUUAAGUUAGAGCGUAGUUGGUUCUCCCGUUUCCCUGUGGAUACGAUAAAACCUUUAACCGGGUAAAAGCUUCAACGGUAUCCGCGCGCUUGCGGAUUAUCUAUGUGCGUAUAAAUACCAUAGUACACUCUAGUGUCAUGCUGGGGAUGACAACCUAGUAUUCAAGUGGUGUUAGCAAGUGUCAACAAGCAUUUUUGGCACCGUUGCCGGGGAAACGGUUGCUGAGUUGACUACGAACUAGCUUAAUCAUUUUCUAAAAAAAUAAAAUUAUAUAUAUAUAUAAUUUCCUUUUAUCCUUUGCCUCAUCUCUGCUAAUCUUUCUUCUUAUCUAAUCCUUGAUCUCUGGUCUAUCAUGAAUUCAAACAUGUCUAUCUAUGAAUUUCAUAGACCUACGGGCACACAUCUCGAACCACCAAAAUCUUCAAAGCCUACCAUAGCAUCUAGUUUUGAGAUAGACCCCGAAUACAUAGAAUUUGUUCAAAAACAACCUUUCUCAGGAGAAGGUGAGGAAAACCCAUACACACACCUAAGAGAGUUUUAUCGAGUCUGUGACCUCCUUCGCAUAGAAGGAAUGUCCGAUGAGACCCUCAAAUGGAAGCUCUUUCCGUUCUCUUUAACGGGAAAAGCUAGACAUUGGUACAAACUCAAAGUAGGGAGUGUUCAUGGAGAUUGGAAGGAGUUACAUAAUAGUUUUCUUUUAAAAUAUUUUCCAAUCUCUAAAGUGGCGGAACUUCGGUGUGAGAUUAUUUCUUUUCAACAACUGGAAGAAGAAUGUCUUGGCAAAUCAUGGGACCGCUUUAUUAACCUUACUCUCACUGGCCCAAAGCUUUCUAUUCCAGAAGAAGUUCUUCUAAUUCACUUUUUUGAGGGCCUUAGUGGGGAAAAUAAGCAAACCUUGAAUACAUCCUCUAGAGGAUCCUUCUAUCACCUACCUGCUAGUGAAGCUUGGAAUUUGAUUGAUUUAUUAAGUGGAAAGUCUCCUAGCUUAUAUAUCCCUAAGAAAGAGACAGAACCAGUUCCUAGACAAGAAGAAGAAGUUUCGAUAGCCAGAUCACAACCACUUCAAUUCCAAACUUUAGCUAUCGAUCCUAAACCAUCAAUACCCCAAAAUUCUCCAAGGGAGGAAGGAAUUCCAACCUUAAAUCUUUCAGAUGCUGAUGGUUUAGACUUCUGGUUCCAUAAGAGACCAUCAAGCAGGGAUAAUUCAAAUCCUCGCAAUAAUGGUUCUCUUAGAGAAUGUCCUGGUUCCUAUUAUGAAGAAGUCGAGGAUGACAUAUCAAGUGAAGGAGAGCUAAGCCAUAUUGAAAAUUCUAACACCUCCCCUUUCCUGAUCACAAGUUCUAAAUGGCUAGAAUGUGUAGAAUGGAUGGAUAAGGAAGAAGCCUUAAUGAAUUCUGACUUUGGUUCAAUUUCAAAUGGUGAGUUCUUGACUCCCUUUGAAGAUGGGAUUCAUCCAACUAUAGAAGAGGACAUAAGUGAGACCAAUCCAAGAGGAACUCUGAACAUUCCGAUUGUAGACGAAGAUAACAUUAAUGAGCAUGGAAUUUAUUUCAUAGCUAUUUUGUUUACUCCAUGCUCAUAUGCAACAUCUUCCCAAUCUAUUGGUCUCUCCAACAUCACCACAUUUGAGAUCUCCAACCCCCUCUUCCUUUCUAUUUAUAAAAACUUUAAAAGGGUGGUUGUCGAUGCAUAUGUCUAUAAUAAAUAUUGCAGAUCUCGUUGAGUUGAUCUUGAUUUAGGUCAGCGUUGGAAGGGAAACCACUUCGCCGACAUAAAUUGAUGGUUUCCCAAGGACAAGCUUAGUGUCCUAAAAUAAGCACUGAUCAGAUCGUAACAUGAGUUUUUAAUUAUUUGCAACAUUACCUUGUGUAUUGAGGAUAUAAGGAUAAUUGUAAAAAUAUUCCUUCGGGUAUUCUUGUCACUAACCUUUACAGGAUUGGAGCAAGAAGAUCGGAUGAAUGACAAGCGCAAGGUAUGUCCAAUCAAUCAUCAUACAACAUUGAAUUAAAUUCAUCCAAACUUGAAUUCUGCAAAAUUCAAGCUUGGAGGAGUACUUUACAUAAAAACAUCCUUUGCCAUGUUGCUAUAUUGGUUGUCCCCACCUUUAAGACAUGCUCAAUUUGUUAAAUACUAAUCACACUACUUCAUCUCCACUUGAGUAGAUCUCUAUAAAUGCUGUCAUGUUACCUUUGUCCAUUUACUAGUAAGUGUUAGUUUGGAAGUACUGCACAUACUUCUAUUGGCCUUUAAAUUAAGCAUGGUGCUUAGGUUAAACAGCCUUCCUUAAUCUGAUUAGACAUGGAGUCUAGUUCAGUUAUUGAACUAAAAACUGCUUGUGUAGACAUUGGUAUAUUUUUGUCGGACUAACCCCUGCAGAAAAACUUUCAAUAUCGAUUUGGGAAGUCCUGAGAUAAACUCACAUCAGAGACGAAGAGAGUGACACAUGAAGUUUAACAAUUUGCACAAGAAGGACAUAGCUCAUUCAUCAUAGAGAGAUGAUCCAUGGAGGGUGCCACAAACACGAUGCACAACCGCUAAGGAAGGAAAGCUUCCACAAGGUGAUACUGUACCAUCACUCUUCAAGCAAGGUAACAUCUUAAGGUACUUGACUAUCACUUUUAUAAGCUUCUCCUUGGUUCUAGCGUUCAUAUAAAUAAAAGAGACAAACAUGUAUGAUUUACAACUCUAGAUUAACCAACCCAACUGAUUCAACAUGUUUAGUCCUUUAAUCCUUGUUCUUAGUACUACCUCCAUAACCCCACACUCCUAAUCAUAUGAGGUAAAAUGUUACACAUUCAAUCAUUCAGAGAUAUAAAGAAAAAGACAUAUACAUAGAUAGAUUAUCUUUCCAUAAGGUUCAGCGAUCUGAUCUGACAAAUAUUAUAAGUGCUACACUCAUGAACUUUUCAUCCAUCAACUUUGUCUUGCUCACUAUGCUUAGGGUUAGAGAAGAACAAAUACACUUUAGGUUCUGUUGGUGUUUUCCACCAACAGGACCCAUGCACUUGAUCUCUGCCUUGUUUCUAUGAGCAGGUACACUUCGAGCAAAACACGGACGAGUUUUAUAACUCUCAGACUCUACCAAGUAAAGGACCUAGAUCUAUGGGUGACACCGUAUUAAGAGGUGCAGACGUCAAGGUCCACACCUGAAUCAAAUGACGCACCUGAAGAAUGAACACGGUGAGAAGUCUUGUUAAGAAGACUUAAAACAUUGAACCCUCGUUGAAAGGUAAGAUCGGUAGUUAUCCAUAUUUAUCCUUUCUGCAUUCCCUUUUUCCUUUAAUGAUUUACUUUCCUUAAAUAGAUUAUUAGUUAAUCAUGCUAUCUUGAAAAGAAAAUAAAAUUUUUUAAAAAAUACUAAGCCCCAUGUGAGUACACGAGUGGCAUAAAACCCAUAAGUACCUUCACUGUGGUGGCAUAAAAAUAAAAUAAAUAUUUCUUUUCUGCUUUAUAAAAUAAAAAUAUAAAAACAGGGAGUAAUAUUUAUUGAGGAAGCUCAACAUGAUGAAGGCUAGAUAUUUAUGCUAACACUUAAUUAGUUCCACAAGCUUUGCUGUCUAUUUGAGUUCCACAGAAUUUAAGAAUCAAAAAGACUAGCAGACGGAGGACAUUCUAAUCGCUGUCCGAAUGCUGCUGACUUUCAAAUACACCUCUGCCACCUGCUAGCUACAUCAAGAGAAAUUACGUCAAAAUUCAGCUUGGGGAAGAGCACCCCCAUUUAUCUCGCUAAGUAUUUCUACCUAUCUUUAUACUUAUAUUAUAUUAGAAUAUUAAAAUACAUAAACUAUGAAAAACCAAAUAAAGAUUUUGUGCUUAUAUAUAUAUCUUUUGCUUAAUGUGUUUAAUAAAUAAAUAAAGUGGCUAUGCUAAUCUGAAUCUUAAUAAUAAAACUGUAGCAUGGAUAUGAUGAAUAGUUGCUCUGCCUAAUUUGCAAAUUUGAAGUUCUCUCUCAAGUUUAGACAUAACUGUUAUAAUUUAAAGUUUGCUCUAGAUCUAAACUUGUGGGUUGAAAACUUGAUCUGAAAUCUAAGUUGUUAACGGAUAUGAUGUGGGAAGGUUGAGCUGCUGUUUAUCUGUUCCUAGAGAUGCUAGAAUUCUGGAGAAUUUUAUCUUUGAAAAAUCUUUAACAUAUUGCAUGAUGAGUUCCUGUAUGAUGAGAGUUUAAAUUCCUACCACAGCCAUAUAUACAUGCUUGCUAGACUUUGGGCCACACAUUUAUUAUUUACUGCUUAUGAGCAUUGAGUGUGGUCAAGCUGUGUAGACCCUUAGGAGCUUGUCAUGUGGUUAAAUCAAGAUUCACUUGCACAUUCACUCAUAUAUGCUACUUCUACUCCGGAAGUACCAUCCACAUAUAUCCAUCCAUGUCCAUCUCCAGAACCACCCAAAAAUAUUCUACUCCUAAUCCGGGAGAGAAUAGCCAAAAAUAUUUCUGUUUUCCCUUGUGAAACAAAUGCUCAAGUUAUCUUGCUACUACCACUUGCUAUAUUAUCUCAAGAGAUGAGUGCUCUGAAAAAAAAGAAAAAAGAAAAAAAGAAAAAAAAUAAUAAAUGAGGAAAUAAAAAGGGGCAAGUGCUCGGAACCUCAAAAGAAAGAAAAAGUGAGACGAGAGGUAAAAAUGGACAAGUGUCCGACAGUAGAAUUAGGGGUACAAGAUACCCACCUGAGAGGAAAGAAAAAGAAGAGCAUCUCAUUCUCCUCAUAAAGUUUCAAAAAGUAAGGAACGUAUGUAUCCCCUCAAAAGAGCAAAAGUAGAAUUAGACUUCCACCAUUAUUAUCACCAUCAUCACCAUACACCAUUCAUUCGCCACACAUGCACAUCUUGAUUUGACUUAUUGACUUGUUUCUCUGGAUCCAUGGAUUGACUAUGCAAUAAAUGUCUUGUAAGUAUGUAUUAGCUGUCUCCCACCUAUGAGCUCCAGAUAUUAAAGCCUUAUUAGAGUAGCGUGAGAGAGAAGGCAAUGUCACUAUGCCUUAUACCACAAAUACCACAUAUCUUGAGAGAAGGCAUAUACCAUCACUGCCUUGGUAAGGAUCCAAAAAUACCACAAAAGAGAGAUUUAGAGAGUCAUACAAGGAAUCUCUGAGUUUUAUUUGAAAAUCUGCAAAAACUCAAGAGCUAUAGCUGAUCAAGAAUAAGAGACAUGGCACUUGGCUAGACUGUUCUAUCUUUUAACUACUCAAGACAGAAGUGGCGGUUACAAGUCCCAUGGUGAAAGGUAAAGUAAGUAAGUUUUAGUUCUUGACAGUUUACUCUAACUCAGAGAUGAGAUCUUAUUUAAAAACAUGUGUACCGUCAAAUUUUUAAGAUAUUGCAACAACUUCUGAUCCAUGCUGAGUCUAUCCUUGCUCAGGGACGAGCAAGAGGUAAGCUUGGGGGAGUUGUUGACGGUCCUUAAGUACCAAAUAUAAUAAGCAAAUAAACAAAGAAAAGGAUCCAAAUACAACCAACAUCUAAAUUUAGGGUUUUAUCUAACAGAAUUCCAUGAGUUUUGGUGUUUGUCUAUUUCUGCAGGGGGUUAUCAGGAAAUAAGAAAGAAAGGCCCACACGUCGGGUUUACAUAGAGAUAUUAACGUGCCGUGCAAUUUUCUACCAUCUAGAAGACUCCAGAAGCCACGGGAACGAACGGGAGGCCGAUCGGGCCCGGGGGCAGGGCGCCCGCCCAAGUCCCUUGGGUGCCCGCCCAGCUACAGUAACCAAUCAGCUUCAACUUCGCGGAUCAUGCUCCACCGACCUAAUACUUCAAGGAAAACCACACGAUCAAUGUCGGUUUGAUCCGAUGGCCCAGAUUCAUCUAAAAAGACUAUAUAACCAGACCCCCUGGCCCCUGGAGGAGGCACUCCUCGAUCAUUAUUCAUUAUUCAUAGACAGAGCAAAAGCUAGGGUUUAGAGAUGAGAGCUCUCCUCUCUUCUCUAAACUAGAGUAGAUCUAGAUAGUAGCAAGAUGGAGAGCGAAGGAGGAUUAGAGGAGAGGUCGGCCUGUCGGUUCUUCCUCCGGUUGUACUUCGUCAUGAUCAAGCUCUAAUCAAGCUUGCUCAUGGGAUGACUCUGGUAAUCUACUUCUAAUUCAUUAUGCAAUUACUAAUUAUGUUUGUUCUGGUUCACAACUCUUUUGAGUACUUUAAUCUAUAGGACGCUAUAGGUGAGAGUUGUAGUAUAGGUGUAAGCGUGGUGCUUAGACUUAGAUUACUUGUGGAUAUCCCCUGUCUAGCUGGAUCGUGUGAUAGGCCACAUAGGUGACAGUUACGUUGGUCCUCUGUAGUCCACCUCUCGUUAGCAGGACGGGUAGGGUUUAUCGGCCUAAGGAUAAGCAUCCUUUGUAGUGUACUCUUAUCACGUGGUUCGUCCCAGACAUAGACAUACCCCUUUGAAGUAGAGAAACCAUAGUUAUCCUCUCUAUUCUGCUACCAUCGCCCAUAUACUAGAAUUGCUCUAUUCUCUAUUCCCAUAUUAUCACUCACUAUUAUUUUACCUUUAAUAUUGUUCUUAUUCGAUUCUACCAUCUUUCCUAUUUACACUUAUCUAUUUAUCUUGGUUAAGUUAGAGCGU